rnacentral:lncRNA from 1 species
AGAACCAUCGGAGGGUCUUCGAUCGGUAAGCCUCAAACUCUAUUUAUCACUCCAUUAAUGCUUGCUUAUUUUUGCCUUCGAUGCUUUCUUGCUUAUUUGAGUUAUCUUUACAAGCUUGUUUAUGUUAGCAUUAUCUUACUUUUCAUCAUGUGUGAAUGCUCGCCGUGAGGAUCCAAAUUUUGAUAUGAACACAAACCAUAAAAAUUUAGCAUCUUGUCAAUACUAAAACUUGAC